CCUACGGGUGGCUGCAGUGGGGGAUAUUGCACAAUGGGGGAAACCCUGAUGCAGCGACGCCGCGUGGGGGAAGGCGGUCCUCUGGAUGUGAAACCACUGUCGCCAGGAACGAAAAUGACGGUACCUGGGGAGGAAGCUCCGGCUAACUACGUGCCAGCAGCCGCGGUAAUACGUAGGGUGCAAGCGUUAUCCGGAAUUACUGGGGGUAAAGGGAGCGUAGGCGGGGCUUCAAGCCUGGUGUGAAAGCCCGCGGCCCAACCGGGAGACUGCAUUGAGAACUGGCGCGCUGGAGUGCCGGAGGGGUAGGCGGAAUUCCUAGUGUAGCGGUGAAAUGCGUAGAUAUUAGGAGGAACACCAGUGGCGAAGGCGGCCUACUGGACGGUGACUGACGCUGAGGCUCGAAAGCGUGGGGAGCAAACAGGAUUAGAUACCCCAGUAGUC
rnacentral:rRNA from 1 species